GACGAACGCUGGCGGCGUGCUUAACACAUGCAAGUCGAACGAUGAACCCGGAGCUUGCUCUGGGGGAUUAGUGGCGAACGGGUGAGUAACACGUGAGUAACCUGCCCUGGACUCUGGGAUAAGCGUUGGAAACGACGUCUAAUACCGGAUAGGACCUUGGAUCGCAUGAUCUGGGGUGGAAAGUUUUUUCGGUCUGGGAUGGACUCGCGGCCUAUCAGCUUGUUGGUGAGGUAAUGGCUCACCAAGGCGUCGACGGGUAGCCGGCCUGAGAGGGUGACCGGCCACACUGGGACUGAGACACGGCCCAGACUCCGACGGGAGGCAGCAGUGGGGAAUAUGGCACAAUGGGCGAAAGCCUGAUGCAGCAACGCCGCGUGCGGGAGGACGGCCUUCGGGUUGUAAACCGCUUUUAGUAGGGAAGAAGGGCUUCGGCUUGACGGUACCUGCAGAAAAAGGACCGGCUAACUACGUG
rnacentral:rRNA from 1 species